GACGAACGCUGGCGGCGUGCUUAACACAUGCAAGUCGAACGGAAAGGCCCUGCUUGCAGGGUACUCGAGUGGCGAACGGGUGAGUAACACGUGGGUGAUCUGCCCUGCACUUCGGGAUAAGCCUGGGAAACUGGGUCUAAUACCGGAUAGGAGCCAUUUUUAGUGUGAUGGUUGGAAAGUUUUUUCGGUGUAGGAUGAGCUCGCGGCCUAUCAGCUUGUUGGUGGGGUAAUGGCCUACCAAGGAGGCGACGGGUAGCCGGCCUGAGAGGGUGGACGGCCACAAUGGGAAUGGGAUAAGGCCCAGAAUCCUAAGGGAGGCAGCAGUGGGGAAUAAUGCAAAAUGGGGGGAAGCCUGAUGCAGCGACGCCGCGUGGGGGAUGAAGGCCCUCGGGUUGGAAACUCCUUUCGCUAGGGACGAAGCUUUUUGUGACGGUACCUAGAUAAGAAGCACCGGCUAACUACGUG
rnacentral:rRNA from 1 species